UACAUGCAAGUCGAGCGGACAGAUGGGAGCUUGCUCCCUGAUGUUAGCGGCGGACGGGUGAGUAACACGUGGGUAACCUGCCUGUAAGACUGGGAUAACUCCGGGAAACCGGGGCUAAUACCGGAUGGUUGUUUGAACCGCAUGGUUCAAACAUAAAAGGUGGCUUCGGCUACCACUUACAGAUGGACCCGCGGCGCAUUAGCUAGUUGGUGAGGUAACGGCUCACCAAGGCAACGAUGCGUAGCCGACCUGAGAGGGUGAUCGGCCACACUGGGACUGAGACACGGCCCAGACUCCUACGGGAGGCAGCAGUAGGGAAUCUUCCGCAAUGGACGAAAGUCUGACGGAGCAACGCCGCGUGAGUGAUGAAGGUUUUCGGAUCGUAAAGCUCUGUUGUUAGGGAAGAACAAGUACCGUUCGAAUAGGGCGGUACCUUGACGGUACCUAACCAGAAAGCCACGGCUAACUACGUGCCAGCAGCCGCGGUAAUACGUAGGUGGCAAGCGUUGUCCGGAAUUAUUGGGCGUAAAGGGCUCGCAGGCGGUUUCUUAAGUCUGAUGUGAAAGCCCCCGGCUCAACCGGGGAGGGUCAUUGGAAACUGGGGAACUUGAGUGCAGAAGAGGAGAGUGGAAUUCCACGUGUAGCGGUGAAAUGCGUAGAGAUGUGGAGGAACACCAGUGGCGAAGGCGACUCUCUGGUCUGUAACUGACGCUGAGGAGCGAAAGCGUGGGGAGCGAACAGGAUUAGAUACCCUGGUAGUCCACGCCGUAAACGAUGAGUGCUAAGUGUUAGGGGGUUUCCGCCCCUUAGUGCUGCAGCUAACGCAUUAAGCACUCCGCCUGGGGAGUACGGUCGCAAGACUGAAACUCAAAGGAAUUGACGGGGGCCCGCACAAGCGGUGGAACAUGUGGUUUAAUUCAAAGCAACGCAAAAAACCUUACCAGGUCUUGACAUCCUCUGAC
rnacentral:rRNA from 1 species